rnacentral:rRNA from 1 species
CGAACGCUGGUCGGCUAGGGCCUAACACAUGCAAGUCGAACGAAGCCUUCGCCGCUUAGUUCGCGCACGGGUGAGUAGCACGUGGGAACCUACUUACGGUACGGAAUAACUCAGGGAAACUUGGGCUAAUACCGUAUACGUCCUUCGGGAGAAAGAUUUAUCGCCGUAAGAUGGGCCCGCGCCCGAUUAGCUAGUUGGUGGGGUAACGGCCUACCAAGGCUGCGAUCGGUAGCUGGUCUGAGAGGAUGAUCAGCCACACUGGGACUGAGACACGGCCCAGACUCCUACGGGAGGCAGCAGUGGGGAAUAUUGGACAAUGGGCGCAAGCCUGAUCCAGCCAUGCCGCGUGAGUGAAGAAGGCCUUAGGGUUGUACAAGCUCUUUCAGCGGGGAAGAUGAUGACGGUACCCGCAGAAGAAGCCCCGGCUAACUCCGUGCCAGCAGCCGCGGUAAUACGGAGGGGGCAAGCGUUGUUCAGAAUUACUGGGCGUAAAGGGCGCGCAGUGCGGCUGGUCGCGUCAGGUGUGAAAGCCCCGGGCUCAACCUGGGAACUGCACUUUGAUACGGGCCGGCUUGAGGACGAGAGAGGAGUGUGGAAUUCCCAGUGUAGAGGGUGAACACUUCCGUAGAUUAUUGGGGAAAGAAACACCCAGGUGGCUGAAGGGCGGGGAACUCUGGCUCAGCUUUCUGAACGCCUUGAAGUGCCCGAAAAAGCCGUUGGCGGGAGCCAAACACGGAUUUACGAUUACCCUGGGUAGUCCAACGCACCGUAAACACGAUGUGCGACUAAC